rnacentral:rRNA from 1 species
AGGGUGAACGCUGGCGGUAGGCCUAACACAUGCAAGUCGAACGGCAGCACAGUAGGAGCUUGCUCUUACGGGUGGCGAGUGGCGGACGGGUGAGGAAUACAUCGGAAUCUACCUUUUGGUGGGGGAUAACGUAGGGAAACUUACGCUAAUACCGCAUACGCCCUUCGGGGGAAAGCCGGGGACCAGCAAUGGCCUGGUGCUGAUAGAUGAGCCGAUGUCGGAUUAGCUAGUUGGUGAGGUAAUGGCUCACCAAGGCGACGAUCCGUAGCUGGUCUGAGAGGAUGAUCAGCCACACUGGAACUGAGACACGGUCCAGACUCCUACGGGAGCAGCAGUGGGGAAUAUUGGACAAUGGGCGCAAGCCUGAUCCAGCCAUACCGCGUGGGUGAAGAAGGCCUCGGUUGUAAGUACCUUUCGUUAGGAAAGGAAAGACGAUUACGGUUAAUACCGGUGUUCGUGACGGUACCGAAAGAAUAAGACGACCGCUAACUUACGU